UAUAUUAGUUAAGGACUUUAAACCCAAAGAAUUUGGCGGUAUCUUAUUCCAUUCAGAGGAACCUAUCCCGUGAUUGAUAGUACACGAUUAACUAUACUUAAUUUAUUUGUUUGUAUAUCUCCGUUAUCAGAAGAUCUUUUUAGGGCUAUAAUUUUCUUGAUUUAUAAUUAUAAAUUAUUUCAGGUCAAGGUGCAGCUUAUAGUUAAGUGGUGGUGGGUUACAAUAAUUUUUUUUUAUAACGAAUUUAAAAUUUAAAUGUUUUAAUGAAGGUGGAUUUGAUAGUAAUUUGAUUUAUUUAAUUUAAUUGAUAUUGGCUCUAAGAUGUGU
rnacentral:rRNA from 1 species